GAGCCUUCCCCGGCCCCCGCCCCGGCCCCGCCCGGGCUGUCAGAGCCGGCCUGUCCCGGGCAGGCUCGGGGCGACCGCGGGAUGCGGCGCUGAGCGCGCUCCGGUCGCCUUCUCCGUCCGUCUGUCCGUCCGUCCAUCGGUCUCCCCGCCCGGGCUCCCGCACGCCGAGAUUCCCUCCCGCAGCCCAUGAUGUGCCUGGAAAGCGACGGCUCCUCCGGCAGCAGCCCGGUCUGCGGCGGGCGGCUCCGAGCUGGCGACGAGGAGGAGGAGGAGGACGGCGAGCGGGGCUGCUGCGGCCGGGGCGCCGAGGGCGAGGUGCAGACCCUGUCGGGCAGGAUGAACCCCCCGCCGGCCGGCAAGCACCCCGACCGCCCCGCCGCCCUCCGCAAGGCGCCGACCCUCGGCCGGGCCCGGGUAGCGGCCGCCGGCAUCCUCAGUGUGGGCAACGUGCUCAACUACCUGGACCGGUACACCGUGGCAGGUGUGUUACUAGACAUCCAGCAGCACUUUGGAGUCAAAGACAGUGGGGCUGGCUUGCUGCAGACAGUUUUUAUCUGUAGUUUCAUGGUGGCGGCGCCGAUCUUUGGUUACCUUGGUGACCGGUUCAACAGAAAGAUCAUCCUCAGCUGUGGCAUCUUCUUUUGGUCAGCUGUCACUUUUUCAAGCUCCUUCAUCACGGAACAGUAUUUCUGGCUCCUUGUGCUCUCACGGGGUUUGGUUGGCAUUGGUGAAGCGAGUUAUUCCACUAUUGCACCAACCAUCAUUGGAGACCUGUUCACCAGAAACACGAGGACCCUGAUGCUGUCUGUUUUCUACUUUGCAAUUCCUCUGGGCAGUGGCUUGGGAUACAUCACUGGCUCGAGUGUGAAGCAGGUUGCUGGAGACUGGCACUGGGCACUGCGGGUAUCUCCACUCCUAGGAAUGAUAACAGGGACACUCAUCUUGAUAUUUGUGCCUGCUGCUAAAAGAGGAAAUGCUGAACAGCUUGGGGGGCAGCUGAAGGCUCGGACUUCAUGGCUGAGAGACAUGAAAGCAUUGAUUAGAAACCGCAGCUAUGUGUUCUCCUCCCUGGCCACCUCAGCUGUCUCCUUUGCCACGGGGGCACUGGGUAUGUGGAUCCCUCUGUAUCUCCACAGAGCACAGGUCGUGCAGAAGACAGCAGAGACCUGCAGCUCCCAGCCCUGUGGCACCAAAGAUAGUUUGAUCUUCGGAGCAAUCACAUGCUUCACUGGCUUCCUGGGUGUGAUCACAGGGGCAGGAGCCACCAAGUGGUGCAGGUCCAAGACCCAGCGAGCUGAUCCUCUUGUCUGUGCUGUUGGAAUGCUGGGAUCAGCCAUCUUCAUCUGUCUGAUCUUCGUGGCAGCCAAGAGCAGCAUCGUGGGAGCCUAUAUUUGCAUUUUUAUCGGAGAAACUCUUCUCUUCUCAAACUGGGCUAUCACAGCAGACAUACUAAUGUACGUGGUCAUUCCAACUCGCCGUGCAACCGCAGUGGCCUUGCAGAGUUUCACUUCACACCUCCUGGGAGAUGCUGGCAGUCCUUAUCUCAUUGGAUUUAUCUCCGACCUGAUACGCCAAAGCACAAAGGAGUCCCCAGUCUGGGAGUUCCUCAGCCUGGGCUACGCGCUCAUGCUCUGCCCCUUCGUGGUUGUCCUGGGAGGGAUGUUCUUCCUGGCCACAGCCCUCUUCUUCCUCAGUGACCGAGCUAAAGCUGAGCAACAUAAAGAAACCGAUUCGGAUCAUCUCACGGUUGGCAACUACAGUAAUUCGGAAGACGCUUCCACAUGACAUACAAACUUCUGGGGGUGAACCAGCUUGUGAUGCCACCAGCCUCUGUGAAAGUCUGAGACGCUGCCAGUGCAGGCAAGGACACGUGGACUCCUGCUCCCACCUCACCAGUCUCCAUCUGGAGCCCUUCUGUGCUGGGUACCAGUGGAUCCUUCAGCUCCACAUCACAGAGGGGUCUGCACACCAAACCCAUCCCUCGCUCCAGCCUGCAGGGUCAGGCACAGGAGAUGAGCAGGGCAGCUGGGGACGUGGCAACUUCUGGAACUGAGGACAUUCAUGGGGUCCCCUGAGUGUGGAAACCAACUGUCCAUGGACCCAGGGAAAGCUGCCCAAGUGAGCAACUGUAGAUUGUGUAAAUGGUUUUAGUUGUAGCCAAUGAAGUCCAUGUUGUUUGUGGGGCAGCUGGUGUCCUAUGGAAUGCUGCUGCUCUGCCAGCACUCCCACUCCCACAGACUGCACUAGUUGAGGACCUGUUCUGUACAUCACCUUUUCUUUGACACUGAAGGCUUGAUUCAGAUUAUUAUUUUUUAUUUAAAUAUGUUAUAAGAUGCUUUAUCUCUGCUGGAGACAUUAGAUGAGAUAUAUAUAUAUAAAUAUACUUAGAUAAAUUUUUUAUUUAAACAUCUGAAAUCUGGAGCUGCCUGUGCAACCAUUGCAGACAAGAAUAACGUCCAUAGCUCUCCUCCUCUCAGUGCCCUGGUGCCAGGGCACUGGAAAACUUCCAGUGGCUGACCUGCCUGUCACUGACACUGAGCAGUGGGACAGAGGAGAGAGUUUCACUGCACUGGGUAUGCUGGUGGUUGUCACAGAAGGGCCCAGAAGAACGUUGGACAGAAAUCCCUACAGGCUCUAGAGUUUUCCAUAUGCUAAAUUCAGCCUUCCUAGGAGGUUCACAGGCUUUUCAAAUACCAAAUUCCACCUGGCUGAAUGGCUGCACCUUGGGCCUGGGAGUGCAAUGCUGCUGUGCCAGUGACCUCGUGCUUUGUUUACAUGAUUCCAUAUCACUCAGACUGUCAGUGCUGAUUCUCCUGCCAACAUCCCAGAGCAGGGGGCUGACACUGCCUUCAGAGCAGUGCUGGCUUCCUGCACACCCAGCCUGGCCUGCCACUGGGGUGUAUUGUACCUGUACAAAGGUGCCUUGGAGAGCUUUCAGACAAGGCCAGUGCCUGAGCUGGGUUAGACUCAAAUGCAGAACAUGUCAUGGUGCCAUUCCACUGGAAUCCUGUGUCCUGGACCUGGCCUCCACAAGCCACACUGGUGCUGUGGCAGCUGGAUGGGGAAGGAAGGGGAGCACAGGUCCUGAAGGAAACCAGGCUGGCACAUGAAGGGCACUGCCACAGGGAGGGCAGUGCCUCAGCAGGCCCCUUCCCUCUGUUCUGAGCCCCCUCACAGUUCAGAUCCCCCCUUCAGUUCAGCACAGCUCAGGCAGGUGCCAGCACCUCGUUCUUGUGCUCAUGGCUCACAAGUGACUGCACUUGGGGUCCAAGGAGGACUAAAUCAGCUCAGGAAAUGUCAGAGCAGGAUUAGAUGUGAGUUAAGGCUGGAGCUGCUGUCCUGGUUGUGCAGAUUUCUCAGAUUUCUGAGGCACAGCAAGGUACUGUUAGUAAAUCUGGGUUUAUCUCCCAUUCCCUGCCAGGAUGUGCUGGGACCUACAGCACAGCCCUGCAGCAGAGAUGGCUCUAAUUCCAGGUGCUCACCCCAUGGCAAGUCCCUGCCCAGCUGGGGAUUCCUAGAAUCCUCCCCCCAGACCUCACAGGACUCCUCUGCAGGGGUUUUGUCACCUGAAAUUCCUUAACAAUAGCUCUAAAGAGCCAGAAGUGUUCCUCUAGUGCCUGAGCAAGCAGGUGCUAGAAAUAACAAAGCAAAGCAAAUCCAACAAUGCUGCACUUCCUACCUCGUGCCACUAUUUACACUCGAGGGGAAACACAGCAGCUGUGGUCUGGGAGCCAAACACUUGGCUUUAAAGGCACAUGAAUUUCUGAUUCCCAUUAAGAAAUUCCUUUUUAAGCUGUUUAAAAGGAAACAAAAAGCAACCCAACAAUCAGUCAUUUCAUCUCAGAGACCAAAGAAGAUUAACCACAUUUUCUAAAUUGCUUUUCUGAUAGGCUCUCUGUUGUAGCAUUUAUUGUCAACAAAAUGGAACAUUUCUCUUAAGGUUCAGAGAUUAGGAAUUCUCCUUAAACUUAAUUCUCAGGAGUCAGCAGUGAAAAGGGAACUGAAGUGUUCUGCAAUCCUUGUUUGUGACAGGCUCCAGUCCCUGUCAGAGCUGUGCUGGUUUUAUCCUUUGUGCACAUGAAGGAAAUAACUGUGGAUUCUGUUUGAACAAGGACAGAGGGAAGGGAGCAAACAAAGGAGUGAGAAUGAGUCCUGCCUUCACCAAGGGAUCCCUGAAUCCCUGCUCCCACAUGUUCCAGGCUAAGAGAGGGAGGCUCAGGCUUCUUCAGAUCCUUGCUGCAUUCAGCAGGGGCUGUGCAAGUGUCCCGAGGCACCAGGGAGGCUCCAGCUGCCCCUCAGUUAAUCACCAGGGGUUUCUCCUGCUCCUCUUCAUAAAGGGGAUAUUUUAGAGCAUUAACUCCCCCAGCUGAUCCUGCACUGGCAGUCAGGUGGUUUGUACACAGUGGGAAACUGAGGCAAUGGGACCUGCCCAGAGGCACAAGAAUGGCCCAGAAGGCAGCAAGCUGCCAUCCCCAGGGGCUCCCAGAGCAGGUCUGGGGGGCCCCGGGAGCCUCUCCCCUCACAGUCAGGGUGACUGAACCCCUGAAAGGUCUGGCUGUGCUCUGGGAAGCAGAGUUCUUCCAAGCUCCACCCCAAAUGCUUGUUCUCUUCUCCAUUGGCUUUAUUGUCUGGCAAACCAGCACUUAUAAUCACUUUUACUACGUGAUGUAUGGGAGUAUUAGUAUAUUUUCUUGUUAUACAAGGGAGAAGUAUAAAAUAGUUUUCUGAUUUCUUUCAGAAGCAAAUGACUAUUUUAUUUUUUAAGAGCAAUUGAUUGUGAAUCUCAGAGUAUAAAAAAAGAAAAGAUAAGCCAAAUAUAUACCUUUAUGUAAAUUAAGAAAUAAAAGUAUUUAAAAUGUA